rnacentral:rRNA from 1 species
UACGUAGGGGGCAAGCGUUGUCCGGAAUCAUUGGGCGUAAAGAGCGCGUAGGCGGCCCUGUAAGUCCGUUGUGAAAGUCCAGGGCUCAACCCUGGAAUGCCGAUGGAUACUGUGGAGCUAGAGUCCGGAAGAGGCGAGUGGAAUUCCUGGUGUAGCGGUGAAAUGCGCAGAUAUCAGGAGGAACACCAAUGGCGAAGGCAGCUCGCUGGGACGGUACUGACGCUGAGACGCGAAAGCGUGGGGAGCAAACAGG